AAUGAGUCUUCCAACAGAAAUCAAUGGGAUUUACAAAAUGCGCUAAAUGCACCGCUGGACUGGGCAUAGGGCAUGGCGGGCAUAUGCCCGGUGGCCUGAAGCCUUUUAUUUAUUUUUUUAUUCAUGCCAAACUCGCGUCUAACGUAGCAGGCCACGUUAACUUCAAUGCAGGCCACAUUAACGUCAAUUCAAGUUAAUGCAAAUUAAACUGGCAGAUCUGCCCUUUAUCAUGAUUGAUUGAAGCCUGGGCCAAUGAGGUGAGGGGCAGGCCAAUUUCGCCUACCCCUCCAUCUCAGCCUCCGUUGGUGACUUGGUUGGUUAGCCACUGCUAGCAGGCAGAUCGAAAACGGGCAAUAUGGACCCUAGUUGGAAGAAAAGAAAGGGUGGCGCUGAAAGAGCCAGGGACCAGAAAAAAACAGCCCUUCAGGCAGAUGCUACGAAAUGCCUAAACAUAGCUGAUAUGUUUGCUGCUCGUGGACAUGGAGCCUCCACAUCUGCAGCAGCAGCAUCAACAGGUAGUGGAGGAGAAGAUGCUCGACAGCAGGUGGACGAGGCGGCCAUGACGGUUCCCAUGCUUAAGGAGUGCUGGGUGUUGCUGCUGAGAAGAGGCAGAUGGGGUAGCAUCAGCAUCUCUCCCACUUGUUGGAGUGUGUGUGUGUGUGUGUGUGUGUGUGUGUGUGUGUGUGUGUGUGUGUGUGUGUGUGUGUGUGUGUGUGUGUGUGUGUGUGUUCUGGUCCAUUUAAAAGCUCUCAUUGGUUUGCAUGCUGCAUGUAAGUUACCCAUUCCUUUUCGUUUUAAUGUUUGUUUUAUUGAUAUUCAUAUUCUUAAUAUACAGUAUAAUUGUGUAUUUAUUUACUUUAUUUUUUCUAUUUAUUUUGUACAGUUAAGUUAAGCAAUUUAUUUUAUUUUGUACAGUUAAGUAAUUAUUGACUCAUUGUAAAUAUAAGUGUUUAACUUCAAUUGUUAUGUGUGUCAUCACUUUUUAUUUUAUAUUCAAAAUUAAAUGGAUGAAAAUCCUA